rnacentral:rRNA from 1 species
CCUACGGGGUGCUGCAGUGGGGAAUAUUGGACAAUGGGCGAAAGCCUGAUCCAGCCAUGUCGCGUGUGUGAAGAAGGCCUUCGGGUUGUAAAGCACUUUCAGUGGGGAAGAAAGCCUUGGGGCUAAUACCCUCGAGGAAGGACAUCACCCACAGAAGAAGCACCGGCUAAAUCCGUGCCAGCAGCCGCGGUAAUACGGAGGGUGCGAGCGUUAAUCGGAAUUACUGGGCGUAAAGCGCGCGUAGGCGGUCUGAUAAGCCGGUUGUGAAAGCCCCGGGCUCAACCUGGGAACGGCAUCCGGAACUGUCAGGCUAGAGUGCAGGAGAGGAAGGUAGAAUUCCCGGUGUAGCGGUGAAAUGCGUAGAGAUCGGGAGGAAUACCAGUGGCGAAGGCGGCCUUCUGGACUGACACUGACGCUGAGGUGCGAAAGCGUGGGUAGCAAACAGGAUUAGAUACCCUGGUAGUC